CGCAUAUCAAAAAGCGGAGGAAAGGAAACCAACCGGGAUUGCCUUAGUAACGGCGAGUGAAGCGGCAAAAGCUCAAAUUUGAAAUCUGGUACCUUCGGUGCCCGAGUUGUAAUUUGGAGAGGGCAACUUUGGGGCCGUUCCUUGUCUAUGUUCCUUGGAACAGGACGUCAUAGAGGGUGAGAAUCCCGUGUGGCGAGGAGUGCGGUUCUUUGUAAAGUGCCUUCGAAGAGUCGAGUUGUUUGGGAAUGCAGCUCUAAGUGGGUGGUAAAUUCCAUCUAAAGCUAAAUAUUGGCGAGAGACCGAUAGCGAACAAGUACAGUGAUGGAAAGAUGAAAAGAACUUUGAAAAGAGAGUGAAAAAGUACGUGAAAUUGUUGAAAGGGAAGGGCAUUUGAUCAGACAUGGUGUUUUGUGCCCUCUGCUCCUUGUGGGUAGGGGAAUCUCGCAUUUCACUGGGCCAGCAUCAGUUUUGGUGGCAGGAUAAAUCCAUAGGAAUGUAGCUUGCCUCGGUAAGUAUUAUAGCCUGUGGGAAUACUGCCAGCUGGGACUGAGGACUGCGACGUAAGUCAAGGAUGCUGGCAUAAUGGUUAUAUGCCGCCCGUCUUGAAACAACGGACCC
rnacentral:rRNA from 1 species